rnacentral:misc_RNA from 1 species
AAAAAAUCUCUUGCUGCUUUUCAUUUUCAGCACUCGUAUAAACCCAGGAAAAAGAAAAAUGAAAAGUUUCUUUAUGCUAUUUUUAGGGUUUGGAGUGCUUAAUCGACUUUUUUUUUUUUGGUGAAACAAAAUAUAUUAUUUUUGUCAAUUAGUGGAAUUUACUUACUAUUGCAUCUGUUUGAUAUCAUUGGAGAGAAAAAUCCCUGCAUAGUUUAACUUGAUGUCUCAAUUGAAACGAGUUUUACAUUUAACUUGAUGAAUGUGUAUUUUAUAUAUAUAUUGGGGAUGACAGUAUUAGUCCACGAUAAGGUAGGUCAUCCGACAGAAAGGAUAGAUAUAUGAUGAUUGGAUUAAAAGUCUGUGCUUUGAUUUUGUAAUGCUUAUGCUGGAAAAUUGUUGUUCCAUUUGCUUAUUUUUCUUUGUGGGCAAAGAGUGGGUGGUGCACUGGUGAUCAGAGGGU